AUUUCCACUGCAAGCUACCCAUAAUUCCAGCUGAAAGAAAGCAAUGAGCAUUCACUGCACUGCCUUCAAAGGGAAACGGUGUGGCAUCUCAGAGGAGCAAAGCACUGCUUCAGAGGAGCACCCCAAAAUUAAGCAAUUGAGAAAGUGUCCGUUAUCAGAACUGUGAACCUCAAACAGCAGAGCACGCUCUAGCAGUGAAAGGAAGGGUGAAAAACAGCUCUUUGUUUGGGCCUGGUCAGAAGGGAGGAAGCAGCUUCAAAUGUUGUUGUGGAAGAAUUUCCUCCAAUAAGACAGUCCAGAUGCUUGAAGGCAUUUAAAGCUUCAGCUCAGCACGACAAGCGUUUCCACCGAGAGCUGUGAUGGUGUCUUGGUGUUUGCACUGAACUAAGAAAGCAGCAGUAACAGAGGAAAGCAAACCAGGUCUGGAAAAUUGCUCUAUCUGCCUUUUUAAAUGAGUGCCACAUAUGGAGGAGCUGCAGGCUUUCACACAGCUGGGAUGUGAAGCCAAUCUGCAGUACUGGAGGUGGGCUGCAAUUCCACAAGCAAUUUCAAGGCGAGGUAGCUGCGUUAUCUGUGGGAUCAAGGCCUGUGUGGGGCGUGCAGGCAGGGUGUGUCCUGGCUCCAUGACAGGACAGGCUGCUGGAGGAUCCACCUGAGCAGUUUCUGACUGUCCCAGCAGGUUUUGCAGCAGCCUUGCAAGCUGUGCACAGGUUCUCUUUGCACAUGAUAAGCCACUCUACCGCAGAGCCAGCCCCAGCUGAGUGUGUCUGCGUGCCAGGAGUGGGUGCAGGUGUUGGCCAUGCUUGCCUGCAUGUGAGAGCACUGCUAGGAGAAAAAGUAAGGGAAAAGUUUUCUAUUUGUUUUGAACAUCACCAGGUCCUCGGCCUUUCCUGUCUCUUGCAGGACUCAGUUCUCUGAUUUAUGCCAGAAAUUAUGAAAGCAGUGUUCCAUUGCAAUAGUCAACAGUUUCACUGCUCUUAUGCAAUGUAAACUGGAGGGAAAUCAGGAUCUCAGGAAGGCCAAUUUCAGGUGGGCAGAUUUCACUAUAAACUUUUUAACGCCAGGAUAAAGAUCUCAAAAUGGAUUCUGUAAUCAGUAGGGCUAUAAGUGGGUGUGCUGCUGUGUCCUGUAUUAUUUAGGACAUUUUCACGGUGACUUUAGAAAUGUAAGUGCUGGGGUCAUAAUUCACUCCCAUAAUUAUUAGUUAUGAGACACAGGCAUUCAGACAUAAAAGAAAAGAAGAAG
rnacentral:lncRNA from 7 species